rnacentral:miRNA from 1 species
UGAUCACCUCGGACGUUGCUUU